rnacentral:rRNA from 1 species
UACGUAGGGGGCAAGCGUUGUCCGGAUUCAUUGGGCGUAAAGAGCGUGUAGGCGGCCAGGUAGGUCGGUUGUGAAAACUGGAGGCUCAACCUUCAGAGGUCGACCGAAACCAUCUGGCUAGAGUUCGGUAGGGGAGACUGGAAUUCCUGGUGUAGCGGUGAAAUGCGCAGAUAUCAGGAGGAACACCGAUGGCGAAGGCAGGUCUCUGGGCCGAUACUGACGCUGAGGAGCGAAAGCGUGGGGAGCGAACAGG